AAUUCAGUAUUAAUAAGAUUCAGAAAUUUGCUGGAAACUGGCUGUUUCAGCUCUCGGUGAAACGCGAUCUUAUUACUGAACUACAGCGUGGUUUAAAAGCUGCUGCUGAUUGAGAAAAACACACCCUGUGGUGGGAGAGAAGGUCGUGAAUCAGCUCUUAAACGGCGCUGGGUGUUUGUUUUGUUUCUGAACAAGCAGGUGACGCUGCAACUGGAUUUUAUAAAGAUGUGAGAAAAGAAUGCUUUCGUCGUGGAUUUAACAUGAAAAGGUACUUCUAAGGCAGCUAGUUGAAGGCGUGAUUGAGGUCCAUGCCAGAGGGGUUCUGCACUGUGACCUCAAGCCAUAGAACAUCCUGGUUCAGAUGUACAGUUAGGAACCACGCCUUCAUCUUCUGUUCUUCUGGACCUUCCUCAUGAGUGGUUUACCCAUGAGGCCAAAUCCUCCACAGUGUUGCAGAUAGGAAUCAUCCUGCUGUGUGUGAGAGGUGACCCUUCAACACCAGCACGGAGAUCACCUCAAAGAAGUCUCAGAUCAUCUCUCCACCAUCUGCUCUAUGACCCCUGGCUAAGUAUACACCACGACACAGCCACCACAUCAGGCACACCUCAGUCAGGUACCAUAUAAAACAAUAAUAAUAAUAAUUUUAAAAAAUCUAUAUUUUCAAUCUCUAGUUUAGAGAGUUCUCUAGUAGAGCUGGGCUAUUAAUCGAUUUUAUCGAUAAAUUCGAAUUUAUAGUUUAGGACAAUGUGUUUUUAUGAAAAUCGAUUUUCUCUGAGUUUUCUUUUUCACCACAGACGCUCCUCUGUGGGCACAGAGUGAGCUUAGCUAGCUCCCUCCAUACCUCCCUCCCUCCAGCGCGCGCACCCCCCGCCCCUCCCUCACUCCCUCCCAUUUAAAUGCUUUGUUUUGCAAUUCUAGCCCAAUAGGGAAAAGUAUUUACUUAAGAGCAUAUAAAUUGUACUUGUUUUCUAUUGUCUACUUUGUAAGUUUUAUCAAAAAAGGGCACCAUUUUAUUUAUUUCUAUUUGUUUUUAAGGGUGUGUUUAUUUAUUUAUUUAUUUAUUUUUAAGUUUGAGGGUGCAUUGUGUCAGUACCUAAACUAUGUUGGAGAAAGCUUUCUAAAAGUCAAUAGAUGUUCUCACUGUUUACAAUAGUUUUUUUUUUGCUUGUUUCUGGUUGCACUUUAACCACAAAUGGAACAUUUUAAGUGAAAACAAAUUAAAUAAGAACUAGUUUUUAACCAUUUCUUUAGAUUUCUUAAAAAAUCUAAGAUUUUUUUUUUCCGGCCAUAUCGCCCAGCUCUAUACUCUAGUUUAGAGGGUUUUUUUUAUAAAACACACCUAAGGAAAAUAGCAGGUAUCAAUAAAGCUAUUGAUUCCAUACUUUUUAAAAGGUAAUGGUUUUCUUUAACUAUAUAAAUGUUUUAAUCGUUUUGUGUAUUGUAUGCUUUUAAUUGCUUCCUGUUUUGUAUUUGUGUUCAUGUACUUAAGGCUUUAAUCCUUUUAUCUUGAUAUUGUUUUUUUUUUGAUGUUUAUUAAUUACUUAACUGUAUUUAUCUUUAUGUAGUAUACUGUUAGUGUUUUAAUCCAUACACUUUUUGUAUAUAUUUCUUUUAUUGCUUAGUUACUUGCUUUAUUAAUGGUUAUUGUAUUGGUGUUUUAGUCUUAUUUUGGGCUUAUAUUCAUUAAAAACAUUUUAAUGUUUGUCUUUUAGUGCUUUAAUCAAUUAAUAUUGUACUUACCUUUUACUAUUUUACUAUUAAUCUUUCUGUACUUAAUUAUACAUUAUUUUUUAUUUAUUUUUUUAUAAAAUUAAAGGCGGGUUUAUUAAUUAUGUCUUUAUACGGGAUUUUAUAUUUGCAUUGUAUAUAUUUUUGUUUCAUUUAAUGUUUAUGCUCUUUGUCUUUUUCAGAUUUUUACAUUUUUAAUUUGUGUAUUGACCCAAGGAGUAUGGGUUCCUCUCAAGGUUUCUAUCUCUCUUUCUGAGAGAAUUUUCUUUGCCGCUGUCUCCUUUGUGCUUACUCAAAAGAGGUUUGGACACUUUUUU